rnacentral:rRNA from 1 species
UACGUAGGGUGCAAGCGUUAAUCGGAAUUACUGGGCGUAAAGCGUGCGCAGGCGGUUAUGCAAGACAGAUGUGAAAUCCCCGGGCUCAACCUGGGAACUGCAUUUGUGACUGCAUAGCUGGAGUGCGGCAGAGGGGGAUGGAAUUCCGCGUGUAGCAGUGAAAUGCGUAGAGAUGUGGAGGAACACCGAUGGCGAAGGCAGCCCCCUGGGCUAACACUGACGCUCAUGCACGAAAGCGUGGGGAGCAAACAGG